rnacentral:rRNA from 1 species
CCUGCCAGCAGCUAGCGUGCGAGUAAACGGAUCUCUUCUGAUCUCGGAAGCUAAGCGGGAUCAGGCACAGUUAGUACCUCAACAGGAGAUAGGGAAAGGYAGGAGCUGCAGGA